rnacentral:antisense_RNA from 1 species
CGUCAUGGCGGGCCCACGGGGCUUCCUUCGGGAAGGCCGGCUCCCUUGGUCGCCGGUGGUAGUAACCCCGUGUGGCCCGUCUCCCUU